rnacentral:rRNA from 1 species
UGGGGAAUAUUGGACAAUGGGCGAAAGCCUGAUCCAGCCAUGCCGCGUGUGUGAAGAAGGUCUUCGGAUUGUAAAGCACUUUAAGUUGGGAGGAAGGGCAGUAAGCGAAUACCUUGCUGUUUUGACGUUACCGACAGAAUAAGCACCGGCUAACGCUGUGCCAGCAGCCGCGGUAAUACAGAGGGUGCAAGCGUUAAUCGGAAUUACUGGGCGUAAAGCGCGCGUAGGUGGUUCGUUAAGUUGAAUGUGAAAGCCCCGGGCUCAAACUGGUAACUGCAUCCAAAACUGGCGAGCUAGGGUAGGGCAGAGGGUGGUGGAAUUUCCUGUGUAGCGGUGAAAGGCGUAGAUAUAGGAAGGAAAACCAGUGGCGAAGGCGACCACCUGGGCUCAUACUGACACUGAGGUGCGAAAGCGUGGGGAGCAAACAGG